rnacentral:misc_RNA from 1 species
GAUGAAGAACGUAGCGAAACGCGAUAUGUAAUGUGAAUUGCAGAAUUCAGUGAAUCAUCGAAUCUUUGAACGCACAUGGCGCCUUCCAGUAUCCUGGGAGGCAUGCCUGUCCGAGCGUCGUUUCAACCCUCGAGCCCCCGUGGCCCGGCGUUGGGGAUCUGCCCAGGCAGUCCCCGAAAACCAGUGGCGGACCCGUUACAGGCCCUUCCCUUGCGUAGUAGCAUUCGCCUCGCAUCGGGAGCCGGCGGGCUUCCAGCCUCUAAACCCCCAUCAAGUCCGCCCCGGCGGCACCAAGGUUGACCUCGGAUCAGGUAGGAACACCCGCUGAACUUAAGCAUAUCAAUAAGCGGAGGA